CACCACCUUCACUGCCAUUCACAGCAAAUUCAAUAGAAGGAACCAUCAUCAAAUUCAAAGCCAAGGAGGCCAUUCACAACAAAUUGUUUUCAAAAGAAAGAAAGAUAGAAAGAAAACGAUACAGCAAUAUCAGUCCAAAGAGAAGUCAAGGAAAGAAUCACAAAUACCAUCAAGAUCAACAACAAGAUCAUCAUCAACAACAACAACAACAACAACAUCAACAACAACAACAAGAUCAACAUCAAGAUCAACAAAUCAAACAAAAAACAACAACAACAACAAGAUCAACA
rnacentral:lncRNA from 1 species